UACGAAGGGGGCUAGCGUUGUUCGGAUUUACUGGGCGUAAAGCGCACGUAGGCGGAUCGUUAAGUCGAGGGUGAAAUCCUGGAGCUCAACUCCAGAACUGCCUUCGAUACUGGCGAUCUAGAGUCCGGAAGAGGUGAGUGGAACUCCUAGUGUAGAGGUGGAAUUCGUAGAUAUUAGGAAGAACACCAGUGGCGAAGGCGACUCACUGGCCCGGUACUGACGCUGAGGUGCGAAAGCGUGGGGAGCAAACAGG
rnacentral:rRNA from 1 species